CAAUAUAGCUCAGGUGGUAGAGCAACGGUUUCGUAAACCGUAGGCCGAGGGUUCAAGUCCCUUUAUUGG
rnacentral:tRNA from 1 species